AACGAACGCUGGCGGCAGGCUUAACACAUGCAAGUCGAGCGCCCCGCAAGGGGAGCGGCAGACGGGUGAGUAACGCGUGGGAAUCUACCGUGCCCUACGGAAUAGCUCCGGGAAACUGGAAUUAAUACCGUAUACGCCCUACGGGGGAAAAAUUUAUCGGGGUAUGAUGAGCCCGCGUUGGAUUAGCUAGUUGGUGGGGUAAAGGCCUACCAAGGCGACGAUCCAUAGCUGGUCUGAGAGGAUGAUCAGCCACAUUGGGACUGAGACACGGCCCAAACUCCUACGGGAGGCAGCAGUGGGGAAUAUUGGACAAUGGGCGCAAGCCUGAUCCAGCCAUGCCGCGUGAGUGAUGAAGGUCUUAGGAUUGUAAAGCUCUUUCACCGGUGAAGGUAAUGACGGUAACCGGAGAAGAAGCCCCGGCUAACUUCGUGCCAGCCGCCGCAGUAACAC
rnacentral:rRNA from 1 species